rnacentral:rRNA from 1 species
UACGUAGGGGGCUAGCGUUGUUCGGAAUCAUUGGGCGUAAAGGGCGCGUAGGCGGCUUGAUAAGUCGGGGGUGAAAGCCUGUGGCUCAACCACAGAAUUGCCUUCGAUACUGUCGAGCUUGAGACCGGAAGAGGUAAGUGGAACUGCGAGUGUAGAGGUGAAAUUCGUAGAUAUUCGCAAGAACACCAGUGGCGAAGGCGGCUUACUGGUCCGGUUCUGACGCUGAGGCGCGAAAGCCAGGGGAGCAAACGGG